UUAUGGUCAGCAAAAAGGGGACCCGUCAUGAUCCACGCCAUGAUAGACUCUGGAGCUACCAACAAUUUCAUCGAUAGAGAGUAUGCCGACUCUCUGGGAUUACAAUAUCAUGAUUUCAAGAAUGCCCGUGUGGUGCAAGCCAUAGACGGCCGUCCCCUCAAGACGGGCCCCGUAAGUCAGUGGUCGGAACCCACCAGGAUGUGGAUAAGGGAACAUAUGGAAGAGAUUUCCUUCUUUGUUACCGAGGUCCCCCAUUUCCCUGUGAUUUUGGGAAUUCCAUGGCUGACUCUCCACGACCCUAACAUCUCCUGGUCCAACAGAGAACUGCAGUUUGCUUCACCGUACUGCCAAAACCAUUGCCUCGUAGCCAAGGUAUGCCAUGCCACAGACACCGAGCCCAUCAUCACCUUGCCAAAGAAGUACUCCGAGUAUUGGGAUGUAUUCAAUGAGAAAGAAGCCGAAAAAUUACCCCCACAUAGACCUUAUGACUGUGCCAUUGACUUGGUGGAGGGGGCCCCGAUCCCGCGAGGGCAUCUCUACUCCCUGACUGAACCAGAGCAAGAAGCUCUCAGGGAAUUCCUAGAGACAAACCUUCGCAAGGGAUUCAUCAGACCCUCUCAAUCCCCAGCCGCCUCCCCAGUGAUGUUUGUGAAGAAGAAGUCAGGGGAACUACGCUUGGUGGUGGACUACAGAGCAUUGAACAAUAUCACCAAGCGGAACAGCUAUCCCCUGCCUUUAAUCUCGGAUCUACUGGAUCGGCUUCGAGGAGCCAAGGUUUACACCAAGCUGGAUCUUCGGGGGGCUUACAACUUAGUUCGCAUCAGGGAAGGGGACGAGUGGAAGACCGCCUUCCAGACCAAAUUCGGAUUAUUUGAGUCCCGAGUUAUGAAUUUCGGUUUAUGCGGAGCCCCCGCAACGUUCCAGCAUUUUGUCAAUGACAUUUUUCAGGACUAUCUAGACAGGUUCUUGAUAAUCUACCUGGACGAUUUUUUGGUGUUUUCCAGAUCACAAUCAGAACAUGAGAACCACGUCAAAAUGGUGUUACAACGAUUGCGGGAUCAUGGACUUUAUGCCAAGCUGGAAAAAUGCGCUUUUGAUCUACAAGAGGUAGAUUUCCUUGGUUACCGCAUCUCGCCUCUAGGGCUUUCCAUGGAUCCAGCCAAAGUUUCAGCAGUAUUGGAAUGGCGGGCGCCAACUAACAAGAAAGAGGUGCAGCGUUUCUUGGGGUUCGCGAACUACUACCGCAAGUUCAUUCCAGAUUUUGCCCGCUGGUCCGACCCCAUCACUAGCUGCAUCCGUGGAAAGCAGCCUUUCCGCUGGACUGAUCAAGCAGAGAAAGGGUUCCAGCAACUAAAGAAACUAUUCACCUCCCAGCCAAUUCUACAGCACCCAAAUCCUGGAACCCCUUUUGUGGUGCAAGCGGACGCCUCUGAUGUGGCAAUUGGGGCUGUACUCUUACAACCGGUGGGAGAUCACCUCCACCCCUGUGCCUUUUAUUCUCGUCAACUAACCACACCAGAGAGGAAUUACACCAUUUGGGAAAAAGAACUACUGGCCAUAAAGGCAGCCUUUGAAACUUGGAGACAUUGGCUAGAAGGGGCCAAAUUUCCCAUUGAAGUCCACACUGAUCAUCGUAAUCUAGAACAUCUAAGAACUGCCCGCAAACUAAAUCAGAGGCAGCAACGUUGGGCUUUAUUCUUUGAACGUUUCAACUUCCAGAUCCAUUAUGUGACCCCAGCCCAAACCAAGCAAGCAGACGCCCUGUCACGUAAACCGGAAUACGCUGCAGGACGCAAGGAGACCUUUGAAUCCCAACUGCUACAACCUGAGAACUUUGCCACGCUCACGGUGGGGAACACCAAAUCCAUUCCCAUUGGUUCAACUUCCCCUACUCCAGGACCCAUCUGUGCUCAAGAAAUCAGGGCUAGUCAGCAAGCAGAUGCCUGGGCGCAGGACCAACUUCGCCAAGGUCUGCAUUUCCCCUUUUCGCUUAAAGAUGGGCUGCUCUGCUAUAGAAAUCAUGUCUAUAUCCCACCCGGACCGGGCAGGGAAAAAGCGCUUCGUCUGUGUCAUGACUGCAAACCAGCAGGACACUUCGGACUAUUUAAAACUAUGCAUUUGAUCCUAAGGGAUUUUUGGUGGCCCAAGAUCCGCAAGGAUGUGGAAAAAUAUGUCAACACCUGCCCAGUAUGCCAGCGCUCCAAGAUACGAAGGGAGAAGCCCUCAGGGCUUUUACACCCCCUUCCUACCCCAUCUCGCCCAUGGGAAAUAAUUUCCGCGGAUUUCAUCACUGACCUACCACCUUCCUGUGGAUUCACCACGAUCUUAGUGGUGGUGGACCUAUUCACCAAGUUAGCCCAUUUCAUUCCCUGCGAAGGCCUCCCCACGGCCAAGGAAACUGCGGAUCUAUUUCUUCAACAUGUCUUCAGACUACAUGGAUUGCCCAAGAGUUUAGUCACAGACCGUGGAUCUCAAUUCACCUCUCGUUUUUGGAAGGCACUACAAAAACUAUUGGGCAUAGACUCUCGCUUAUCUUCAGCUCAUCAUCCCCAAACAGAUGGGCAAACGGAGCGCACCAAUGCCACUUUGGAGCAGUAUCUUCGCUGUUAUGUAAACUAUCAACAGGACAAUUGGGCUUCUCUGUUACCACUGUCUGAGUUUGCCUACAACAAUGGAGUUCAAGCUUCUACAAAAGAAACGCCGUUCUUUGCAAACUACGGCUUCCAUCCACGUUUCUUUCCCCCUGUCAUUGAAACUUCAGAGGUUCCCGCAGCAGAGGAUUGGCUGCAGGAACUCACAGCGGUGCAACAACUUUUGCUCCAGCAACUGGACCAAGCCAAGGGGGACUAUAAACGCCACGCUGACAAACAUCGCCAGCCGGGCCCCGAAAUCAAGGUAGGAGAUCGGGUUUUCCUGUCCACUCGCUUUCUGCCCUCCCACCGCCCUUGCCGGAAGUUAGAUGCCCGUUUCAUUGGCCCCUAUCCAGUGGUGGCGCAAUUAAACCCCGUGACUUUCAAACUCCAACUUCCGCGUUCAAUGCGCAUUCACCCAGUGUUUCACCGUUCCCUGCUCCUUCCGGCGGAUGGUGUGCGUCCUGAUACAGACCAACCGGCCCCCCCUCCUGUUUUGAUGAAUGGGGAGGAGGAGUUCGAGGUUGAGGACAUUUUGGAUUCUCGCUUUCACCGCCGCCGCCUACAAUAUCUCAUUGACUGGGUGGGUUUUGGCCCUGAGGAACGCUCCUGGGAAGACGCCUCCACAGUCCAUGCUCCUGAUCUAACCCGUCGCUUUCAUCAGACCUAUCCCACCAAACCGCGACCUCGCGCCUCGGGGAGAGGGCCCCAGUUUGGGAGGGGCCUUGAGGAGGGGGAUAGUGUGAUGACCCAUGGGCCUUGUAGUCCUGCUCAGGACAUUGUAAUUCCUGAUGAAGAUGAAAACUUGGGUUUUUUACCUUCCCAGUCUGAACUGGAUUCCUCUCUGCCAGAUCUUUCCCAGGCAGAUCUGGGAACCUUGCACCUGCAAGAAAGUUGUCUCCCAGAAGUAUGUCAAACAAGCCCAGAGCCUACUUCUCCCGUAUUCUUGCGCCGGGAGUUUUGUAAACAACAGAGAAGUUUGGAUUCAGCUUCGCGCAGGAGUGCGCGGAUUGCAGCUAAGAAUGUGGCCAAUUAAGACUGCUUCUCGUGAGAAUCUUUGGGGAGUCUCACAUCUGGUCUCAGAGUUAGCUUUCGGUUCUGAUUCCCAGAGAACUGCUUCGGCGGGAAGCUAGACUCUAUUUAGGUGUUUUACCCGCGUAGUAACUUCGCGGAGUCAAUUCGUCAGCCUACGGAGCGAGUUGUGUCUGGACAGCGCGCUCCGGUUCAAGCCUCGCUCCUGCUCAAGCCUUGCCUUGCUAUCCAGCCUUCGCCUUGCUUCCCAGCCUUUGUUUAUCUACGGACUUUGCCUUGUUUCCCAGGAUCAAUCCUUGCCUUGUUCCACGGAUUUAUCAAGUUAUUCCACGGACCUUGUUCUUGUUCUUAGUUACCUUGUUCCACGUUCAAGCCUUGUUUCAAGUAUCAAGUUAUUUCCUAGCCUCGCUCAAGUUUCAUGGACUAAAGGACCUUGUCAUCUCCCCUCACUUUGCUUGGCAAAGUGAGUGUUUCGGUUAUUGGAUUACAACUUUGGACCUUAAUAUUUCUUAUUGGACAUUGCUUUUUUGGACUAAUUCUGACCUUUCCUGGAAGGUCUAAUUCUGGACUAUUUUCUACACUUGUUUUUAUUAACUUUAUAUAUUCCUACAAUAAAGAUAUUAGAUAGAUUCUGGCCUCUGUGUAUGGUUAUUGGUGCUCUGCAGCCUGGGUCGUGACAUACAUAUAGGCAGACAGAUAGAUUUCAUGGAAAUAAGGGAGAAUCCAUAAAAGUGAGUUACAUUGCAUAAACGGGAAUCAUGAGUGAUAUAAACAAUUGAAAAACAUUUGAUAAGUACGAAGUUCAUAACAUCUGGGGAACCCAAUAUGGAAAUUCAUAAAAGUGGAGUUUUAGCAGCAUGAUUUUACAAUUCAUGAAGUUGUUAUCUCUUGCCUCAGAGUGCAGGGAUAAUCCACAGUAAACUCCAGUAAAAAGUCUCAAUCACCUUCUACUAUAUGGAAUAUAGAACAUAAAGUCUUGAUUUUUGAACUAUCUUUUACAAAGUCCUGGGGGGGAGGGUGGUCACCUCGAUCACAAUGGUGCCAUUCUAGUUUUACACCUUUAUUCAUGGGGGUGGGAUCAGUCAAUAUGCUGGAAAUGCCAACUUAUUAUUGUAGCAGUCAUACUGGAACAGCCUUCCUUGAUUAAAAGCAAUAGGUGAUUGGCCACACAAUUGGUUUCUAUCAAUUGAGUUAAAAGUUACUACAAAGUUAUGAAAGCCAACAGAUAAAUGUUUAGUAGGAUGCAUAAUUCCUUGUUGGGCUGAAAAAUAGUCAAACAAACAAUUAUCACUAGUGUUGUCGAAGGCUUUCAUGGCUGGGAUCACAGGGUUGUUGUAUGUCUUUCGGGCUGUGUGGCCAUGUUCCAGAAGUAUUCGCUCCUAGUGCUCUGCCCUUUUUGCUUAUAGAAAUUUCAUUUAUGAAUUGUAUGUAGUGGAUGGUAGGAAGGAUGUAACUUGCAGGGCUGAGGAAUAGAACAAUAUUGUUCUUGAGGAAUGUACUGCCAUUGCUAUAUAUAGAGUAUUUUAAUGGCCUUCCAUACUUACUGAGGUAACAUUGUCAGUUGUUUUGAACAAGAAAGCUAUGUGUUGGCAGACAGAUGAUCUGUCCACUAGUUACAUGUUCAAUUUGUUGGAGUUUUAAGCAGCAGAGCAUUUCAUUAAUUGGUUUCUGUCGAAAAAGCAAAAUUAUGAGCCUUUCAUCUAAUUGUUCACAGUCUAAUAUAAUCAAAACUAUUUUAGGGCAAAAUUUAAAUUUAAAUUUUGAGCCACAUUUUAUUUUCCCAUUCAGUUGCUUUAGAGGUAUUGGCAUCUCUUGAUUGUUUUGAUUCUGGCAAGCAUCAAGUGUAAAAUAGUACAAACUGUCAACUGUAAAACAGUAGAUGAAGCUGCGUCAGUAUAAAAUAUUGUCAAAUGCAGAAAUUCAUUGUCAGUCAAAUAUUGAAGUAUCAGUUGCCAAAAUACUGAUUAGAGCAGUUUGACUAUCCAAAUAUAAACAUGGUUUUUAAUAGGAAUGCUGCACACAUGGCAGGUGGCAACUGUACUUUUAGAACAGGAGUUUUCCUGCAGUGACACCUGUGUACAUAGUCUGAAAACAAGGUAAGUUGGCUUCAUUUAGAAUGAUUUACAGCAGGAGGAAUUCUGGCACUUGUCGUUCCAAAAGAAACUGGAUUUAAUUUUGUAUCACAUGCAUAGUUUUAGAUAUUUCAUUGAUUAAAUUACAGUAGCUACCUUUAUAAAAUCCAUGUGCGAGGAACGUUUAGCCCUCCAGAGUUUUUGGAGUUCAACUACCAUAAUCUUUCUCCAUUGGAUCUGCUAGCUGGGGCUGGUAGAAAAUGAAAAGCCAAAUAACAUCUGCUGAAAUUGGUGAUCAUCUUAUUUUGGAUGCAGGAGCAUUAUGGAUGCAAUUGCAACCAUUUCCAUAAGCUACAAGUCAGUGUCAGUUCAUGCACGGUGAAGGGAAGGUUGGCUGUUGAUAGCGUCGAACCAAUAUAACCAGCAAGAGCUGGUAUAUAUGUAAUUGUAGUAACAUGUGAAAAGUGAAGAGAUAGUCUCUCAAAAUAGAUAUAAUAUAGGACGUUUCUUACUGUUUUUCUACUUUCCACCUGAUAAAUGUUUAUGUGACCCCAGGUAAAUAGUUUUAUAAAAUAUAUAUAAAACUAAAACAUUUAUUAUAAUAAAUCAGCAUUUCCAAGGCUUGCUAAACAGGCUGAUUUCCUUUUAGUGGAGUACAGCUGUAGCAUUUUCUGCAGAGUCCAGUGUAAACACUGCACAUUGUUACUAACCGAUUUGUAUGGAAAUCUGUUAUUGUUGCCAAAUUUUUCAUUAUCCCACAUUUGAGCUAAGAGGACCCCAUUUGAGGUCAAGACUCACAGUGUAAGCAGCACUGAUAUAGGACAGACAGACAGACAGACAAAAAAAUCUGGACCUUGCAAACUACAUAUUCUUUAUAUCCUUGCUGAAGAUGUAAGAGCUUGUCAAACAGUUGAAAUAACUUCAUUUUUGUCACCACCACCUUUACAUCAAAAUUAAAUGGAGACACACAUGCAACAUUUGGCACUUAAUAUGCUAAUAUGGAUUUUCAUUAUUGUACUGCUUUCUCCCAUUUUAAUUUAUAAUCUAACUGAAAUGAAUUUUUAAAUGGUGAUUUUAAAAGAAUAUUAAGAUCCAAACCAAGUUUUUGAUGCUCUUUACACCCUCUAUCUAGCAGGAAAUAUCACGUUAGUGUUUUUUGCUAAUGGGUUUUUUAUUAAUAAAGUUCCUCUUUUUAAAGUAUUAAUAAAGUUCCCUCUCUGUUUUUAAAAAAAUCACCAUUGGUUAUAUCAUCUUGAAGGAUACGUUGGAAAAUGAGAAUGCCAUUAUCACAGUGGGGUUACUUUAGUAUAAAAUAUUUAAAACUAACUUACUCCCAUUGAAUUACCUGCUGACCUAUUCUUUUAGUAGCUGCAUGAUUUCCCCUUAUUAAAUAGCUGCCUGUUGUUGAAUUUCCUGAAGUUUUAAAAAUGUCUGACUGCACUAAAGCGCAAAACCAGAUAUCCCCAUUAUGACAAAAAAAACCCUCUUUAUAUGGGAACAUUUUGAUGUGACGAUUCCCUUGGGUGCUUUCAUAAUGAGGGAUAAGGACUGACAUAACAAUGACAGUUCUCUGAUCUGCUUUUUGCUCAGCCCGAUCCCUCCAUUUUUUGAAACUGAAAAUGCUGAGGUGAUGUACCAUAAUAGCAUUUGGGUUACUUCAGACAGAAAAAUUUGCAGUGGCACACAAUGAGAGUGAUUUGGGAAGAUGGAUAUAAUAACAUCAGAACAUGAAAAUCUGUAACCCAAAAUAUAAUUGAGGUCAACUACUAAAAACAGGAGCAGCUGGUGUCUUUUGGGAUGAUGGGAUAGAGAGAAGGGGUCACCAGAGAUGGAGCCAAAGGCCACCAGAGGCCAGACAGUCUUUUGAAUCUACAGCAGCCCCUUCCACAGAAAGUCAAAUGGUCAGUAGCAGUGAGAAAGAGAUGAAUACAUUCAGGAAAAUAAGACAUGCCUUUGCCAAAGUUCCCUCUUCCCACUCCCAAAACCUGGUCCCAUACUGGUUCCCUUUCAUAUAAUACAAUUGCAGCUUGCUGAUUCUGCUUUAACUGCCAUGAAGCAUUCUAUGGGAUCUUAAGGUAUUUAUUUAGAAUAUAUUUAAAGUUAUUUAGAAAUCCAGCCAGAGAGCUCUUGUUCUUCAGCAAACUGAAGCCCUCUAGAUCUCAUAGGGUACAGCCAAGGCAGUUAAAAUGGAACCAGAGCACUAUGAUUGUGUAGUGUGAAGGGGUCCUAGUUCUCCUGAUCAUUGUAAGGAGAUGUUUCUGGAUCUACCUCUUUUCUUUUCUUUUCUUUUUUUAAAAACCUUUCUUACUGGACCAUCCAAUAUGUCACUAGAAAACAUACUAUAAUACAGGUGCAAUCUCCCUUUUGGAAAUCCCCCCCGCCCUGGAUUUUGGGAUAUUUCUAUUUGCAUAUUCAUGGUGUAGUUUGGGUCUGAAUUUCUAUGUCUUGCUCAGCUUAUUAAAUGCGAGCUUAGUCCCCAUCAAUGAUCCUGGGAUCAUGGUGGUGGGAACGGAGACUCGUCACACAUCUAGUGCUUGCUGAGUUUUUCCUGAAGGAGCCCCAAGGGUGGGAAGAAAGAAGGGAAGGAGGGGAAGCUUUUGGUUACAUCACCCCCCCCCCUGUAAAAAGCCUCCCUGAAAAAGGCAGACUUCACAGACACAGAAAAUAUGCUUGAUACCCUCACCCCAACAACACACAUAUAGAGAGGAUAGUUGUUCAGCCUUCACAGUCUAUUUCCAGUAUGUCCACCUUGUUGUGUGCCACAACUAGCAGGGAGAGGACCUAUUACAAGCCUCCUUUUCUCAAAGGUGAAAGUGAGAGGCUGGCAGCUGGCGGCAAAAGGUUUUGUUUUUUUGAAAUACAGUUGCCUUACUCUCAAUAUUUGCAGGUUUUAUUUUUCACUUGAUUAUUUGCAUAUUUUAUUAAUAUGCUCUCCCUAAAUAUCUCUUGGACUUAAAGACUCCUAAAGAAGUUUUAAAAUGGCAGUAUUUUUAUUUGUGGUUUUCCCACAUUUUCAUGAUUUCUGCACCACAAAGUAAAGGAUCUAUUGUAUUUUGUAUUUCUAAAUAAGGGAGACUCAACCUGUGAUUUUGUUAAAGAUAGAGUCAUUCUACAUUUUUUGUAGUUUUGCUCUGAAUGUCUACAUUGUGCUUCACUUGUCAAAUGUGAAAUUAGUCCCCAACAAUGUUCCUGGCCUCAUGUGGUUUCUGUGAAGGGCCCUCACCUACAGUCAGUUCUUUCCUUUUUAAUAACAGGAUACAUUGCAGCCAAAUGUUCUUUAAAAAAUUGUUUAACACACAUCAAAUUGUAUAGUUCUGAUUAAAGGGCAUUUUUCUUUCUCUUCCUUGAAUGAGAGGGGAAGCUCAAGGCUCUUAGCACAGAACAACUAAGAGUUUUGGAACAUUUUGCCUUCUAAAAAAAGAAGUCAUACACCUCCAGGUCUCCAGAUCCAGUAGGAAGCAUAGACACAGAAGAGGUCUAUGGUCUGCUAAAUCUUAUAGUUUAAUGUAUCUGUCCAGCUUCCAUAAUCUUCCUUUAUCCCCCUGCAAUCUGGAAAGAUCUAUGUAAAUUAAAAAACGCCACACAGGAAGUCUCACCUGGUAAUAAAUAAGGAUAUAAAGAACAUUUGUUGCAAGACAUUUCACCAUUUUAUGGCACGAUAGAUCAUCACAGCAUUUUCAGGUAUCCCUGGAAAUAGAAUAUAAACCAGCAGAAAAACAAGGGAGUUGUAAUCAGUUCCGCUUAACAAUCUGGCUGCAGUUUUUUGGGGCCAGUUUAAGUUUUUAAAGGUUGGAUAGUAGUUACUUGUGCUCUUUGCCUAUUUUAAAUGGAUUGUUGUGCUUCCUUACAUAGUAGUAUUAUGUAUGGAAAUGCUGUUUUUAUAGGCAUUUUAUUUGCAGUUAUCCCUGAAAACACUUUGUUGAGGGCUAAUAUGUUUCAUAAUUGAAUAAAUAAGUAAAUGCAUAUAUUUUCCCCUGGGAUGUGAGUUGGAGUUGAGAACCAACGUUAUAUGAGUGGUAAAUCUGCAUGUACCAUGGGCAAGAAGUACCUUCUUUCUUCCCCCUUUGUUGUGUGUCUGCCUAUGUUCCUUCAAGUCACCUGUUGACUUACAGUGACCCCAUCAAUUUCAUACACAAGGAAUACUUACCCUGUUUCCCCGAAAAUAAGACAGUGUCUUAUAUUAAUUUUUUCUCCCAAAGAUAUGCUAGGUCUUAUUUUCAGGGGGUGUCUUAUUUUUCCAUGAAGAAGAAUUCAUAUUUAUUGUUGAACAAAAAAAAUGAACAUUUGUUGUAUACUAUAUCGUAGUUGUCAUCACAAACCAGCAUAACCAGACAAACUGUGAAUCAAGAAUCUCUUGUUACUACCAUUAUUUCCAUGUACAACAAUCUAUGGUACAUACAUUUACUAAUAUUGCAUGCUCUGGUGUUAUGUUCAGCAGGCAUGCUUCCAAACAAAAACUUUGCUGGAUCUUACUUUCAGGGGAGGCCUUAUAUUUAGCAAAUCAGCAAAACCUCUACUAGGUCUUAUUUUCAGGGGAUGUGUUAUUUUCGGGGAAACAGGGUAGAAGUGGUUUUGCCAUUUACUUCCUCUGAAAUAUAGGUAUUUAUUGGUGGUUUCACCCAAUACUAACCAGGGAUGACCUUACUUAGCUUCCAAGAUCUGAUAGGAUCUCAUGCCCAUAAGAUCCUUAAGCCUUCUCCCUUUGUUGCCUUUCAAAAAUCUACUCCCAAGGAUCUUUUGGCAAGUUCAGGUGGGAAGAAGAAUCAUCCCCCCCCCCCUUCAUUACCACUGCUGGAAGAAGUCCUGUCAAAGACGUUUUACUCUGUAAUCUGCCUACUAAGUUGUGGUUUGGAGUUCCUUGGACCGCAAGAAGAUCCAACCAGUCCAUCCUCCAGGAAAUAAUGCCUGGCUGCUCACUGGAGGAAGGAUAUUAGAGGCAAAGCUGAAGUAUUUUGGCCACAUCAUGAGGAGACAGGAAAGCUUGGAAAAUAUCAUGAUGCUGGGGAAAAUUGAAGGAAAAAGGAAGAGAGGCCAACCAAGGGCAAAAUGGAUGGACGGUAUCCUUGAAGUGACUGGGUUGACCUUGAAGGAACUGGGGGCGGUGACGGCCGACAGGGAGCUCUGGCGUGGACUGUUCCAUGCGGUCAUGAAGAGUCUGAGACGACUAAACGACUGAUCAGCAGCAGCCUUGUCCUUGCUUUGUUUUCAGUGUAAUUAACAUGGCACUAGGCUUCAGCUACAUUUGAUUCAUUUGGUCUUGGAAGCUAAGUAGGGCCAUCUAUGGUUAGUACCCUAUGUAAUUCAGAGUCACUACCAAGUAACAGGUUGACUUGAAGGAACAUACACAAGCAACCUUAUAAAAGGGGUUUCUUGGAAAUAUUUAUUCAGACUGAGUUUGCCAUUGCCUUCUGAGGUUGACAGAACCUCAGAAGGAGGGGGUGCCCAACAUCGUUCAGUGGCUUUCCAUGGGGAUUUGAAUUCAGGUCUCCUGAAUUCCUUGUCCAACACUUGAGCAUACUGGUUGGCUUUCAGUUGGAACUACUUACUAAUAAUUCAGAAAUACAUUCUUCUGCAAUAAAUAAUAACAUAACACAUGACAGCAUUGAGUCAUUUUUUACUUGGAAACCUAUUUUCCUCGACACCAGGGAAAAUUUGGAGGAAAAUAAUGGCGGCUCUGGUUUUCUUGAGGGGGAAAAAGACUCAUAUUCUGUUGCAGAGAUGUUUGUUAAGGUGUUGAGAUUUGGAAGAAUUAACUCAUUCAGCAAGUUUAUUGUAGUAAUAAUAAUGGUAAAAUAGAACUUCAAGGAAAUAAAUGCAAUAAAAUCAAUGGUGCUUGUCAGAGCUGCUUGUCUGUCUUGGGGACCUGGAGCUGUUUAGGUAAUGUAAUUGCAAGCUCUAUGCAACUCUGUUUCUGGCCUCAUCAUUUUCAUGGCCAUUAAGUUUGAAUGCCUCCCCCACUCCAUUCCCUCAAGGCAAAACCAUCAUGAACUUGUUCUAAGAGACAUGCCCACAGAUUACAAAGAAGAUUCAUUUUCUGCAGUUUGCUUUCUCAAACAUACAGUUUUGACUGCAUUCAUAAAUAGGCAGAUGUUCAAUUACUUCUCUUCAGUUUUCCUUUUGUAGGAAAUAGGUUUCAAAAUCUUGGGCUGUUAAGUACGUACAUGCAUUUAUACAGAGGGAUUCAUUAAUGUUUUUGUAUUUAACCAUGAUACAAUGUUAGUGCAUAAGCAGGCAUAAACAUAGACUUCUCUAUAUUUUUGUGAGAAGUAAUCCAUAUUUAAGGAUCUUCCACCUCAUUGAGCCAGCUAUCCUGGGCCACCACCAACAAGAAGACCAAAAGUGGAAAGAGUAGGGGGAGGGGGGGGGGUCAGUGCUUUUUGUAGGUUCUCCUGGGAUGGACUAGACUCUCAUCUCUUUGCCAUUCUACUCAGAGAUAGUUCCAUUUUUGAACAAGAAUUAAGGUAGAAUACAGGCAGUGCCCAAGUUACAAACAUCCAACUUACAAAUGACUCAUAGUUAACAACAGGCAACAGGAAGUGAGAGAAAUCCACCCGUUAGAAGGGAAAUUCACUCCUGAGAGAGUCAUCUCGAGGAAAAGGUGUCUCAACUGAAGCUUUAUCACCAAUCCUUGUUUCUCCAACAAGACAAAUUUUUCAAAAUCCAAUUAUCACAGGGAUAGAAAGUGAGGUGAAAUAUUCUGAACAGGGACACAGGCAGCAAAACAACACCACAAGGGUGUUAACCCUUCUCUAUGUCAUCCAAAGUUUGUGUGUGUGUGUGUGUGUGUGUGUGUGUAUACAUACAGACACCGACGUACAUACAAAAACUAACCAACAGACCUAUGGAUGUUAGCAGUUUUUUAGAUUUUUUUUUUUUAAAAAAAAAACAAAUUGUAGAUUAAUGUAUGAGCACAUAAGGCACUUUCACUGUCAGACAAGUUGGCCAAUGGUUUGUUGUUCAGACAGCUAGAGAAAAGAUUAUCGGCUUCAUGGAGGAUGAAUUUGCAAGCCAGUUGGUGCUUUAGUUGCAACUACCCCUCUAUCUAACACUCUGGUAGGGCACAGAUGGCACAGUCUUUUGUGGACAUAACUUUGAAAGGUGUUGUGACAAGCAACGUGAUAUGCUGCAUAGUCUGCCUUACUUGCUGUUACAAAAUAGUUUUCAACCUUCUAAAAUACCUAUAAGAGCUGUAGUUUUAAAGGAAUUUUAAAUUUUUAUUUUAAGAGCUGAAAUACUAGUAAUCUUCACUCUUCUGUGCCUGUGGCAAGUAUGUUACAUUGUCAACAUUGCUGUUCAAAUUAAGGUGGUUCCUCAUUAUACAUCAGUGCAGCUUAAGUCACUUAAAAGUAGUCUUACCUUCUGGAGAAGCAGCUGUCUUUGCCCUCUUCAGGAUGAUGGGCCAGAAUUAGUCAUAUACAGUAUUCCCCUAUAUCCCGUCUCAGUUUUCUUUUCUCCAAACUAAGUAUAGGGUACCAUAGUUAUCUACUAGGAUUUGGUUCCAGGAUCUCCUGCGGAUGCCAAAAUAAGUACACGUUCAAUUCCCACUGUAUACAGUGGUGUAGUAAAAUAGUGUAUUUUGUAUAAAUUGGCAAAAUUGAGAUUUGCUCUUGUUGGAAUAUUUUGUGGAUGGUUGAAUCUGUGGAUAAAAAGACCAUAAAUAAGAAUUACUACAUGUAUAUGUUCUCUUAUUCUUAUAUAAAAAGAAUUUGAUAUGAGAAGGAAAAUAUACAAAAAUUACAUAUUUUCUAUGUACUUAGCCAUUUUCCUCCACCUGCUCUGUAUUCUUCUUGAUAUUAUGUUCUGGACCCAGUAUGUGGUGCAAAAUAAAAGUUGAAUACCUUAUCCUUAUAGUAAUUAAUAUUAACCAUGAUCUCAAACUGUUAAUCCAUUUCAUGACUGACCUAGAAGCCAAGGGUGGGAUUGCUAAAUACAUCCUGCUUAAUUCUUUCACCAGUGAUGUCAGUGAACAUUUUGCCAGUGACAUCAGUGGGUGAAGUCUCUGACUGAUUUCAGUUAAUCUACUAAUUUGCCCCUCGGAGUAUAGUUUUGGCAGCAACUGAUUUUUCUGAAAGUAACUGGAUACAAUGGAGAAACAUUUGGUAAACAGCACCUUAGCAUAUGUCUUUAUUCAGAGUUGUUGAAAAGCAAUCUUUAUAUUCUUUUGUCCUUUGCAUUUUCCUUUUAAAAUUGUUAAAUUAAGAAUCCCUUCUCAAAAACUGGAGGUCUUUCCCCAUUGUACUUUCAACACUCCAGAAAGGAAAAACAAAAAUGCUUUAGGGGGAAAUGGAGCUCCAUCUCCAUCCAGCACAAUAAAUCCAGCACAAUAAAUCUUUUGGUGAAUUAUAUGUCAAGCACCAAAUAUAGGAAUUGCAGGCUAGUGGCUAGGGAACACUACUUCAUAUAGGAAUUUUGUUGGUUGAAACCUUUAAUUAUAAAACACACUAUGGUCUGUUAACUGUUGCCUUAAUACAGUCCGGUAUUUUAUGAAUUAGUUUAUUACCUGCUCGAAGUAGUAUGUAUGCACCAGAAUAACUUGGCAUAAUAUUAUAUCCCUAUUGCAUACAUAACUGCACAUGCAUAUCAAAGCACUGAAGGUGAUACGCAAUGAUAAUAAAAACAGCAAGAGCAGAAGGUCCAUGUUAUGGUAACUUUUUAUUAGCCAACCUGAAAAGUGCAGCAUUUUCUGCACAGACUCUUAAAAUCAAAAGUUUUUUUCAUUAGGAAAGGUUUAACGAUAUAAAAGGUUAGAGGGGUGUUGAAGUCCCACAGUCCACAUAUAUCAUUUAGAAGAUGAUCUACGAGAAGCAGAUCUAUCAAACUGGUCUCCUAAAGACAUGUCCUAAAUGGCCUCAUCACAUUGUGGAAAACCAAGACAGUAAUAAAAAGAGCUAUAACAUUUUGUAUAAAAUAAGGAAUUGUUGUGUUAGUGAACUUUUGAGGAUCCCUUUGUUAGAUUUCUUCUUCCUCAUCCUCAUCAUAUUGGAGCCCCUUAGUGGCGCAGUGGGUUAAACCCUUGUGCAGGCAGGACUGAUGACUUGAAGGUUGGGUUGCUGACCUGAAGGUUUCUGGUUCGAAUCCAACCUGUGGAGAGCGCUGAUGAGUUUCCUCUAUCAGCUCCAGCUCCAUGCAGGUGGUAAAAGGAUGGUAAAAACAUCAAAACAUGUGGGCAUCUCCUGGGCAACAUCCUUGCAGACCAAUUUUCUCACACCAGAAGUGACUUGCAGUUUCUCAAGUCAGUCCUGACACACACAAAAAUCCUCAUCAUGAGAUUUCUCCUGCUAGUAAGCUAUUUCAGAACUGGUCCUAUUAUUAGGUAAAACUAGCUAGUUUAUUAAAGCAGCACAUUAUGGAAACAGCACAAGGCCAUUAUCCUUUUGUUCCAGUGCCAAAUGGUUGAACCAUCUGAUUGGCAUACAUUACAUGAAAUACUAUACACAUAUGUAAGAGACAGCAGCAGGCACAGAAUCAUGGAAUUGGAGUUGAUUUCAUAGGCCAUCUUAUUUGAUACAGGAAAUCCAGAGCAACAGCAUCCCUAUCAGGAUGUCAUUGAGCAGUGGUUCUCAACCUGUGGGUCCCCAGGUAUUUGGCCUUCAACUCCAGAAAUUCUAACAUCUGGUAAACUGGCUGGGAUUUCUGGGUGUUGUAGGCCAAAACACCUGGGGACCCACACUUGAGAAACACUGUCAUUGAGUCUCUGGACUGCUAUCUGUUUCUUUGCCAUUGAGGUACUGGCUGCUAUAUACAAUAUGGGCUUGUGAUGUUGAAAACCUUAGAUUUUCUUAAUUUUUUGUCCAUUUUUCAGCUGGGUCUUUUUCUUUGUUUCUUUCCUUUGCUGCUGCCUUUUUGUAUAUAUAUCUUUUUCUUCUUUUCCAUGCUUCAUUUUUUUUCUCCUUUUUAAUCUUUUCCCUCUCCCAUUUGGUUGUCUUUCCUUCCUUUCUCUCUCUUAAUAGUCCUGUUCUUAAGAUUUAACCUCAUCUGCAUAAGCAGAUAUGGCCCAGUUAAUGAUGUAAGCAGAGGAAGGGAGGAUGUUAGAUCAGCGUGGUCUUAAUUUUCUGCCUGUUCAGUAGUUUCUUUUAUUUUUGUUUUUAAAGGAUGCAGAAAUAGAGGAAGGCAAGGCUUGAAUUAAUAAUAUGAAAAAAGUUUUUGGCAUGUUGUAUCUGGAGAAUAUGGAACAUUUAAAAUUCACAUUAGGCAGCAAAAUACUACCUUGACCUUGGUUAUGUCACACUACUCUUUUUUCCCCCUCCUGAACCAUCAGUAUUCAGUGGCUGAAACCUGCAUUAUAGGAAACCUGGAGAUAGUGAGAAGCCUCAAUGGCGUCUUUCUGCUUAGCUCUUUUGCUGUCACUAAAUGGAAUUUUCCAUAGUUGAUGAAAAAGAGUUGUUUUCUAAAUGCUUAGAUGAGAAUAAUAAGAAGAAUAAGAAUAAGAAUAUACUUUAUAUUUCGCCCUUCUUCCCUAGGGGAGACUCAGAGCGGAUAGCUUCUUUGGCAACUUGGAGAUGGCAUUUUUAUGGCAUACCUUGUAUGCAUACAACAACCCAUGAUGAAAACUAAAAGAUAAUGCUAAUAUUAUCUUGGACUAUCUAAUAGGACCGUCCUGUGGCCUAAACCUACACAAGAUACAUAACCAACCCUUUUCGGUGUUCUUUUAACUUUCUAGUAGCUAUUUUUCUCUAGCUGCUCUAGUACCUGCAGCAGAACAUCUAGAAAACUUCUACCAAUGUGUGUUGCUAUACGAGUGCCAUUGGCAACUACAUAUAUAUGGGUACGAAAAUUGCACUAUCUAUAUAAUUGCUAUGAGAAAUGUCCAUGCUGCUUUAAUUGUGAUUAGGUUAUUGAGUAAUAGAUAGUUGACCUCCUGAACUCUUCUCCUUCUCCUAUUUAUGCCCCCCCCUUUAUCUCAGAAACCUAGAGACCUAGAGUGGCCUGAGCAGUGCACCAAAGUGCACCAGAGUCCAGAGGUAGGUAUGACUUUUUCCUAAGCGAUGCUGCCUCUUGCCAUAUGGACAGAAAUAAUCCCUAGCUCAUUCACUGUAUUCCAUAAUGAGACCUAAUCAUGUUUCAGGAUGUUUGCCUCCAUUUUGCGUUGUCUGAAUACCCAUAACAAUUGAGUCAUCUUUGGGGCAAAGGUUCUCAUUUCCUGCUGUUCCCAGCCUUUGAUCAAAGCUGCUUGACCAAAAUGAUUUUUUUCAAAGCAUAUAUUUAUUUAUUUAUUUUUUAUAUUCAUUGCCUAAUUAAAUGGGCUAGAAACAAGUGGAGAUAUGUGGGGAGCUUUCUCCCGUUUCUUUGCAUGACUGCACUGUUUGCUGACAAUGAUAUCAAAAGCCCGGGAGGGGGGCAAGGGAAAAUGUAUGGCAAGGGGAAACAGUGAGAAAGAUUGAAGCAACUAAUUUGGAGGUUAUUGGGUUGACUGCUCAGCUCAGAAUGCCAUAGCCCUAUAAUAAAAGCUGCACAGCAGAAUUGUUUGCACACCAUUUAAUAAGAACACAAACCCAAGGAUGCCUUCCCCAUGUUCCGAUUAUCUUCAGAUUUUGACACUUGGGUCAAAAGGGCUCACAGACAUACUUGUUUUAGGAGCUUGCCUACAAAUAAUUAAUUCUCUAAAUGGGUUCCCAGAAGGAUGGAAUUUGUAUUUAAUUUUUUUCCUGGCAGCAGCAUCUGAUAAUGUUUUUAUUACAGAGUGCAUAUGUUAGAAGGAAGAGGAAGCAGCAAAGUAUCACUAUUAAUCAUUUGACAGAAUUUCACAAAUUGUUCCCUUGAUUAUACCAGCAAAGUUUGAUGUUUUGCAUAUUUGAACAUUUUAGGUUAGGUAAUUAUGGAAGAGAUACAUAAUGAAUUGUCUUUUGUUCAGUUAGCUGCCUUAAACAAUUCAAUAGGUUGCUUUCAGAAUUUUCUUGUGUGGUGUUUGUAAAAUUUUAAAAAAUUCCAAAGCCAUGCAAGUAACCAAUGAAAGACUGUUGGUGAAGGAGAUAGAAAAAACAGUGAUAGUCCAACACUUGAAUGAUAGUCUGAUUGUUUAGUUUGAUAGUUGGAUUGCUUUGUUUAAUUAUAUUGUAAGCCACUUUGAGUCCCAAACUAGCAAUGAACCAUAGUAUAAAUAAAUGCAACAACAGACAUUCAGAGGUUUUGGAAAUCCAUUUUCUAAAGAUAGAUGAAUGUCAGAAAGUAUUAUUUAUUUUGUUUACUAAGCAUGCUUUCUAAAGAAGCAUUUUCCAGUGGUUCUCAACCUGUGGUCCCCAGAUGUUUUUGGCCUACAGCUCCUAGAAAUCCCAGUCAGUUUACCAGCUGUUAGGAUUUCUGGAAGUUGAAGCCCAAAAACAUCUGGGGACCCCAGGUUGAGAACCACUGCAUUAUGUGAAGUGUCUCUCCAAAUGUUACUGGAUUUCAACCUGUAGCAUUCCUCACCAUUGGUUCUGCUGACUAGGGCUAUUUGGAGUUGCAGUCCAAAUUUAGAGGGCUGUGUUUUCCCCAUCUUCAGAACAAGAGUUAAACUGCAUAAAAUCCAUGUGACUAGCUUCUUUGUUGGUCUAUAUUUAGGUUACCUAUAAAUAAUACUCAAGAGAUGUGGUGGGAGCUGACUUAGCUUAACUUGGGUUCCUUUUCUUUUGUUGUAGUGCUAUCGCUCUAUUGUGCUAGCCUUAUUAGGAAAUCUCCUUUCUUAAAGGAAGCAGGUCAGGGUCUCCUAAUACACAGUGCUUAUUGUUCACCUGGCUUCACUAGCAUAAAUCACCUUCCAACUGGGGCUCUGUGUAAAAUUCUUGAUGUUUCAAAUUAGUUAGUGAUGAGGAGAUUGUGUCAAGGAAUAUAUAUAUGGAGUUUCCAAAGGGUACCAAAUUUUUUGAAAAAUGAAAAAUGAGCUAUAAGUGUCAGCACAUUGUUGUGUUGGAAUAGAAUAUUAUGCACAUAUCAAAUAUAUCAAAAUAUAACAAAUAACUUUGGUUCAGGGUUUGGACAAUUGCAUUUUGUAGCAAAAGAAUGCACACCUUUAGCAUGUUUUUUAAAAAUUUCUGUAAAGUUGGUUCAGAUGGAUUUAGGACCUUUUGGAACCAAUAUACAGUAUAUGGUUAAAAUUGAGUUAAAUGUAAUGCAAAAGUGGAAAAUAUGUGUGCAGAUUUGUGUUUUUAAAAGCCAGAUAAAUUGUGAUUUUAUACAUUACAUAUAUCUAGGUACUAGGAUUAUCAGUUCAGAGACCCUAGUUUCUUAUCCAGUCCUUAAGUCAAGGGUAAGGAAUCUCAGGGAUAGAGCAUCAACUUGAAAGUAUAGGUACAGUAGAGUCUCACUUAUCCAAGCCUCGCUUAUCCAAGCUUCUGGAUAAUCCAAGCCAUUUUUGUAGUCAGUGUUUUCAAUAUAUCAUAUUUUGGUGCUAAAUUCGUAAAUACAGUAAUUACAACAUAACAUUACUGUGUAUUGAACUACUUUUUCUGUCAAAUUUGUUGUAUAACAUGAUGUUUUGGUGCUUAAUUUGUAAAAUCAUAACCUAAUUUGAUGUUUAAUAGGCUUUUCCUUAUUAUCCAAGAUAUUCGCUUAUCCAAGCUUCUGCCGGCCCGUUUAGCUUGGAUAAGUGAGACUCUACUGUACUAGGAUUAUCAGUUCAGAAUCCCUAGUUUUAAAUCCAGUCCUUAAGACAGUGGUUCUCGACCAGUGGGUCCCCAGAUGUUUUGGACUUCAACUCCCAGAAAUCUUAACAGCUGGUAAAGUGGCUGGGAUUUCUGGGAGUUGUAGGCCAAAACACCUGGGGACCCAUAGGUUGAGAACCACUGUCUUAAGACAAGUGUGAGGAAUCUCUUGGAGAGAGCAUCACCUUGGAGGUGUGUGCAUACACUUUCUCUCAUUUGGUAGGUUUGAUAUAAUCUAUUAAAAUUGUUUCCUUUAUGAACUUUGGUUGAUGCUGACAUAACAAGGAGGUAUGCUUGUUAGCAUCAUGAAGUCCUGUCCCCGUAUGACCUCAUAAGACGUUGUCCCUGAGAUUUCAGGUUUACCCAUGUCAUCUUAGGGCCUUGGAUAAUUUGGACUUGGCAGUCCUACUAAGGACAAUCUUGCUGGUUUUACAUUGGAUUGUUAUAGUAUGUGCAUCUGAAUACCGAUAUGUAUCCAGGACAAAAUGUACAUAGGACUGUAUGGAUCCUUCUUAGACAGGUUGCAAAACAUGGAGUUGAUUAUGCACUGCAAUAAAUGAGGUGUAAAUUGCUUCUUCAACUUUGAGAAAAGGAGCUCAAGAAUAACGUCUAAGAAUGAGUAAUACUAUGUUUGUUUUAUCAAAAAUAUUUUACAGAUGAGAGGAAGAUUUAAUUAGUAUACCUACUCCUGUCACCUUUAUUAAUAGACCGUUUCAGAUAAAUGUGAAAGAGUGAUGAAUGUGAAGAUUCAGCAUUUGUCAAGUAAGGAGCAGGAAGAAUGCUAGGAAAGUGACAAGUUGGCAAAGUUUGGAGUUUUGUACCCCUAAAAUCUCAAGUGUAAACAAGAUGACAAUCAUAAUGGAUGAGGAUUGAUAAGAUCUAAAGAACUAUCAGAAGAGUUAGGAGAACCUAAAGCCUGAUGACAGAUAGGUAGAACAUACGAGUCACAAGUUAUAUUCUGGUCCGCAGGUUGGAGUGACAAAUUGAAAAUUACAGAUAAUUUUACAGAUAAACAGCCAAAGAAAAGUCAUGGUUUGUGUGUUGUUAAAGAGGCCAAAUGUGUGGCUCAACUGUUAUUAGGAGCCCUAGAACUGGAGCAAUUUGAAUGGAAAAAUACAAUUGUACGGAUUUCAUGACCCACGAUUCUAGCAGCAUGGUGUUCAGGGUAGCUUACAAAAACUAAAAUAAGAAUAGAAAUCAGAACAUGGAGCCUAAACAUGGAUCCUCUCCCCCAAACCUAGCCAUUUUUGGUCUCAAUCCUGGCUAAAAAAUGGAAUAUAAUAGUAAUAGCAGUAGUUCUUAGACUUAGACUAUCCCAGGAGAACCUAAAAGAAGCUCUGAGCCCCUCUACUCUUUUCUGCUCUAGCUCCACUUCUAGCCACCUUGAAUGCCUGGCCAAGAAAUGGCAACCGUGGCCAGGGGAAACUAACCACCUGAGGUAGCAUUAGAGAUUUCCUCACUCCACUGAAUCACAGAUCAUCUCAAAAUCCAUAAUUUCUUUUCCUCCAAACAUGCCCCAAUACAUGAGAAUAUAGGGAAAUUAUAUAAUAGUUCCCUGGGCACUUCAUUCCUGGCCUCCUUCAAAACUCUUGUUGCCUUUCUCAGAAUAAAGGAGAUAAGUUAGCCCAUGCGUCAACCAGAUAUAGAAAACAUAAAUUAUAUAUACACUUGAAACUAUCAAGGUAUUUUUUUUACUGAAUGGGAGUCCAAACAUUUGUUAAACAAACCCAUCCCUCAAUUAUGUAUAAUUUUCUUUACAAAUGUUUGUAUGCCACUGUUUGUAAAGAUGUAAUGGCAGAUUACAAAAUUAAAAGCAAACAGUGAAACAAUAUAACAGCCUAAAAACAACAACACACACACCAAGUUCAGUAAUACAAGAAAGCAAAUACUGUACGAAGCAUGGUGUAAAGCUACGAGUUUCCAAAAGCCAACACACACGUUUCUUCAGAAUGACUGUUUAUACAUUAGCAAAUGUAUGCAGAUGUCUUUAAUUUUUUUCACUGAGAAUUCUUUAAUUUUCUAACAAUACUCUUUUUGCUUUUAAGCAGAGCUCCUUUUGUUGAACUUUUAUGACUUUUCUCCUUUUCUUUCCAGUUCAAGAUUCAGAAGAGUAACAGUUUUUUAGAUAGCCCAUUUUACAAUAGCCUACAGCUUUUCUUGUACUGUAAAAGUUAUCUCAUGCUUGAAGUCAUUAUGCUGGACAUGAAUCAGUUUACCAGGCUUCUUUGUUGUAAUUUAUAGGCAUGCUGAUCUGAACUAAGUGGAAGUAUGGAUGGCUCUUAUGCCUUAGUUUUAAAAGAUUUUAAACAGCUAGUUUGCCCUUCUAAUUCAGUUCUGUGCAUGUUAUUUUGUUUAAAUUAUCUAUCCAGUACUCUAAGCCAAAACUCUGAGUUAGUUACCUUUAAAACUUUUAUUGAAUCAAUAAAAGUAUGACAAAAGAGGAAAAUAUCAAGACAAGGAAAUAAUAGCUGGAUUAAAAUAAUAAGGGGGAAGCUGGGUGAAUAAAGGUUUUCAUCUGGCACCUGUCUAGGGAGAUCAUUUUGUAGUUACAUAACAAUAAACAUAGUUAUUGGCCAUAGGAAAAAAAGAUUAAUGUUAGGGCAGUGCUUUUAUUAGGCCAAUUCAAAGUAACAACAUAUUGUGGAAAUGUUCUAGUUCUCCAGAAUUCUUCAUCUGGUUAGAAGAUUUAAAAAUAAAUCCCAGAGUGAUAAUAUUUUUUUAAAAGGCUGGCAAUGGAAUAAACAUGAUAAAAUGUAGCCUAGCCUAUGCCAUAGAUUUUUAUAGGAUUACAUAAAACAGAAUCCCAAUUAAUCAAAAUGUUUUAAUUGAUUAAAGGUAAAGGUAAAGGUUUCCCCUGACGUUAAGUCUAGUCAUAUCUGACUCUGGGGGUUGGUGCUCAUCUCCAUUUAUAAGCCGAAGAGCCAGCGUUGUCCGUAGACACCUCCAAGAUCAUGUGGCCAGCAUGACUGCAUGGAGCGCCGUUAAUUGAUUAGAUUUCCAACAAGUUGUAUAUGACUAAAAAUCUAAUGCGGAUGAAAAUACCAUAGAUAAAGUAGUUCCCUGUUUUUAGACAAUACAGUAGACAUCCCAGAAAUCCCAGAGUGUUUACGCUGUUAGGAGUUCUGGGAGUUGAAGGCCAAAACAUCUGGGGACCCACACGUUGAGAACUACUUGUCUAAUUUAAUUGUGUUUCCAACUCCCAGGAUUCCAUAGCAUUCAGACAUGGUAAAGUAGUGUCAAACUGCAUUAAUUCUACAGUGCAGAUGCACCCUGUUGUCUGAUAAUUCAGAUGUAAGAGGCUUCAGUUGAUUGACCUAACUGAUUGAAAGUUGUAGUCCUGUUAACUUUUGUCUUGUUGUUGUGUGCCUUGAAAUCAUUUCAGAUUUUUGAUGCCUUUUGUAUAUAUAUAGAAAUGGAAAUAGAUAGUUUGGAAUGAUACAAAUCAGACAUUGUAUUGUUAUCACACCACUGCUACUGUAAUUUUAAAGAGCCAGUAUAUGGAAUAAGUUGUAAUGUUUAUAUAGGAAAGUGCUUAUUGUACUUUUAAAGGUUACAUUAUUUGAUGUCAUGGCCUAUGGCUGGUACAGUAAACAAUUCAAUAUAUAUUUUGUAUAGUCUCCAAAGUAUAUGCUGCUCCACUUCAAGGCUUUGGUUAAUAUGUACAAAAGUCAUUCCUGACUAGUAAAAGUCAUCUUAAAUAAAAUAAAUCCUUUUAGAAUAGUUAAGAUUUUAUCUGUAAUAAGUUUUCCAGAGUUAAGUAAUUUAUUAUAAAGCAUAUCUUUAAUUUUCUGCAUUAUACUAAACUAGGCAUCCUGGCUCAAUUUACCAUAAAUAAGUUGCCCAUCCUCUUUGCUUUUAUCUUGCUGCUCACAAAAAGACCUAAACAGACCAUAAAUGUUUGCCUGUGAACCUAAUCUUGCAAAUACAUUUGGGCUGAUGGGCCGAUAGGGUGGGAUAGAAAUAAAGUUUCAUUUAUUAUUAUUGAGUUUUUAUUAGUUUUUGAUCCAGUAUCCCAUGUUUGGACACAACUCAGAGCUAAAUAUUUAUCCAUUUGCACAUCCAAGAAGAGUAAACCAUCAUAUUAAUUGAUGUUUUUAUUUAUUUAAUUUCUAUCCACUAGCAUUCAAUGUGUCAUGUUUACUGCUUAUUGAUGGCAAGCCAGGCUAAACCAGGAAGCCAGGUUUACUGCUAAUGUGCAAAUAUGGACAGUGUGUGUCCAUAAAGUUUUUGCUUGUGCACAGUGAGCGUUAAAAGGCAUUUUCAAUCUUAAAUGGUCAAUGUGGGAUGGAAGCAAUAAUUGUUUUUUUCUGCUUGAAAAAAAUUGGGAUCCAUUCACUUUUGAAAAUGUUUAAAACACUGAGUAACUGAGUUAACAGCGGCUGAUACAAGACAUAUGACAGACCCUGAACACUUUUGGGGCCCUCUAGAGAUGCAGUAGCUUGGUUUUGCAUUGUUUAGCUACCUAAUCAUAUAACAGCAAAGUGACAGUGGAAAUGGCUGCUUUGUUCUGGUUUGCCGUGACGCUCGCAAAUGUCACUGGCUUUUUUAAUAAUGCUGUGACAGGCAGGAUUUGGAAAAUGUCCUAAGGCAUUGUAAAAACAAGAGAAACCAGAAGGUAUGUGGAAUUACUGUAAUUAGGAGAAUAUCUGUUCUACAGGCUGCUCAGUUACACAUGUCACUUUAAAAAUAACAGUUUGCAGUUUGGAUUUUCACAAAGAUUUAUAACUCUGUGCCAUAAAGCUUCCUUGUUUGUUUUGUUAAAUAAAUUGAAAAUCUCUUAGUCAAUGAUAUCUCAUAUAAUGGCAUAGAACCUGCUCUGACUUUCACCUACAGGAAAGACUUUGAUAGUUAUAAAAUGCAUGGUAGUGUCUCUGCCAAAGAAGCCUGAUAUAAUUACCCUUCAUGGGUGAGAUAUCCUGGGAAACCCAUAUUUCUGAGAUAUCUGACACAAAUUCAUUGUUUUCUGGGGUGACUAGAAUCAGAUGUUAUUUUUAUGAUUCUUAAUUGAGCCCUCUGAGGAUGUGGACUCUGCCUUUAUCUUACCUUCCCUUGUCUCAGAGCUGAUUGAAGUGCUUUGGAAAGUGCAUGCUACAAUUCUACAGGGAUUGUCCCAGUUCAGAAUACACCUGGGGAAGGCUGUAGGUUGGAAGGCUUCCCCUGCUGUACAGAGAAAACUGGGACAUCAAGUAAAAGGCUAAGCUUGGGACUUUCUCAUUGAAAAGCUUCUAUUCUAUUUUUAGAAUAAGAAAAAAAAAUGCAUACUUCUUCAGAUUGAUUAGCUCUACUCUUGGUUUGAUAAAAUCCGAUUAAUGUUAUGGGUAUAAUAACCGAAUAAUUCGAUGCUGCCUUUGUGGAGAUCUCUCAAACAGGAGGUUAUGCCUUUAUCUCAUGAUUAUAAAAAAUUAUUCUCCAUCUCUCCUUGCAGUUUGAGGCAGGGUGCAAUAUGGUUAAAACAGAGGAAUAAAUAACAACACUAUUAACAUGCUUAUAACAAAAUACACACAAGACCAGGUUAAAAUUCACAAGUUAAAAUGGACUGGGUAGGCCUGUUGGAAGAGAUGGGUCUUCAAAAGCUUCUUAAAGGCUGACAGCUGAUUUACUGUCAGAGCUUUUCCGGCAGGUCCUUCCACAGUCUUGGAGCAGCCAAUGAAAAUGUCAUCUGGGUGACAGUUGCCAGUUGGAUUCUGGCAGGCUGGAGUAGACCUUAGUGUGUGGGGCGGAUUGUAUGGGAGAAAAUAAUCCUUUAGGUAACUUGGACCCAAACCAUGUAGGACUUUAAAAGUCAAAAACAACACUUUGUACUUUGCCCAGAAACUAAUUGGCAACUAGUAUAGUAACUGUAGUAAAAUUUUCAUGAUUGAGAAGACGGUCAGGAAAUAAGGUUAAUACAUAGAACACCCAGCCCUCUGUAUCUGCUGAGGUUAGGGUAUAGGAUCACUGUGAAAGUGAAAAAUUGCAAAUUUUUUAAAAAUUGCUAUUAACCUGGAAGGACGUAGAAUCAGAGCCAGCCCUAGGUAUUUUUCAAGUGUAGGCAAACAGAAUUUUGGUGCCCCCCACCAAACCAAUCACUGAAAAAUAAAAAUGUUGGAUAAGCGAAAAUGUUUGAUAAUAAGGAGGGAUUAAGGAAAAGCCUAUUAAACAUCAAAUUACACUAAGAUUUUACAAAUUAAGUACUAAAACAUCAUGUUUUACAACAAAUCAACAGAAAAAGAAGUUCAAUACCUUGCGGAGGCAGGCCGCAGGAGACAGGAGUUGCCUCGAUGGCGCCCCCAACAAGAUGGCGCCACAGGCAACUGCCUAGUUGGCCUGGUGGUUGAACCGCCUCUGCGUAGAAUCAUAGUUUGAAGAGACCAUGCAUGCAGGACCUGGCAUGCAAGAAUACACAAUCAAAGCACUCCAACACCUCUCAAGGAAUCUUUAAGUCCUCUAGUAUGAUUCUAUGGUCAACUUCCAAUGGAUGUUGACCACAGAGGAAUACUAGAGCAGUGGUUCUCAACCUGUGGGUCCCCAGAUGUUUUGGCCUUCAACUCCCAGAAAUCCUAACAGCUGGUAAACUGGCUCGGAUUUCUAGGAGUUGUAAGCCAAAACACCUGGGGACCCACAGGUUGAGACUUAGAGAUUACUAACAAUAACACUUUAAUGAAAUCAAUUAAUAAUCAAAUCUGCAAAAGUCAAACCUGCAAAUGUGGAGGCCUGAUUGUACCCAGAAAAUGCAAAACAGAAGUCCUAAAUAUCUAAAUUAAAGCCUGAUAUAGAGAAAUAGUAUUUUUUUGUUUCUAAAGAUACCAUCUCUCACAUUAGUAGGUGUCAGUUUAUUUGAUUUUGAAAGGAAAAAGACAUCAAAGGUAAUAGCUCCCAUUUUAAGAGUUCUCAUUUGUCUUUCGCAAAAACAUAACAGCACCAAAUUGGUGUCCAGGCAUCUCUUUUUGAACUGUAAUUCUGAAUGCCACAUCAUAGUAUAAUGGUCAUACAUUCCCAACAUUUAAGUAUAGUAAAUAGGUUUUGUGCAUUGCAUUAAGUAAAAUGCCAAGGUCAUUGUGUGACUGGAAUCCUCCAACUUUCAUUUGCUUUGCUUGAAAUUAUUUUUUAUUUGUGACUUUAUAAUUUUCUCUGCACUGCCAUGUUUAGAGGGCACAUAUUUUUAGAAUCUUGGCUUUGUCUAUUCAUUUCAAACCAUUCAAGCAGCGUUCUCUGAAAUGAUGCACAAAACUAUUAAAACUAUCACCACAAAAGAUCAGCCUUGAUACAGGUGAAAGUCAAUAGGCUCAGAUUUGUUCACAACCCGAUAAUAUUAUUUAUUUAUUUAUUUACUACAUUUAUACCCUGCCCUUCUCACCCAAGGGGACUCAGGGCGGCUUACAAAAAUUGGCAAAAUUUAAUGCCAAAAUGCAAUCAUAAAAACAAAACAAUAUAAACAGAUCCAUUAAUAACAUUGUUAAAACACAUUAUAAAAACCUUAAAAGCAUAUAUAUAAUUAAUUCCAUUCGUCCAAGAUCCUCAUGCUUCAUCUUUAAAUCAGGCCAUGUCAACUUUGUCAUUUACUCAUCAAAAGCUUGGGCACAUAACCAUGUUUUCACAGCCCUUCUGAAUCCCAGCAGGGUAGGAGCCAAAUAAACAUUGUCUUUCUUUGAUGGUCCUCCCACACUAUUCCACAUAGACAAUCCCUAAUGCUCCUUUGUCAUCCCAUUUUUCAGUUGUUUUUAAAAUGUCCCAGUUUCUUUUUCCAAUAUUAUCCCUUUAUUCUUACCUAACUUCAAUAGCUGCAUAUUGACUUUAAAAUACAAAAGUUGUUUAAACUCAAUGUGUUGUCGAAGGCUUUCAUGGCCAGGAUCACAGGGUUGUUGUAUGUCUUUCGGGCUGUGUGGCCAUGUUCCAGAAGCAUUCUCUCCCGACGUUUCGCCUAAUAGGGUGAUUAACUGAAACAUUAAUGCUGGCUCCCAGUGACAAAGGACUCUUGCCACACCCCGGACUCUACACAGAUAUAUAUAUUCUUUCCUUCCCUUACUUAGUUUAUCCAUACCUCACAACCUCUGAGGAUGCCUGCCAUAGAUGUGGGCGAAACGUCAGGAGAGAAUGCUUCUGGAACAUGGCCACACAGCCCGAAAGACAUACAACAACCCUGUUUAAACUCAAUUAACUUAGCAGGUUCUUUCUCAAUUGGUCCAGGCAAAGCAAAUUGUGGCAGCCUUUCCUAGCUUGUAUGGUCUUCCUCACAAAUAACUUUUGCCAUCUUGGCUCCACUCUGAUAUUGCUUUGCCAUGUGUGUCAAUUUUGGUCAUCUAAAACAUUUACUGUAAAUGUUGUUUAGGAAUGUUAUAACGAGGUUUUGGAAGUUGCACAUAUGUAAUUAUAAUAACUAAAUUGAUGGGUAAAUGGCAUAUCUCAUGAAAAUAUUUUAUUUUUAUAUAUUCUAAAAUAUGAUUCAUUGUUUAUUUCACAUAGAGAGGUUUCUCAUUAUGGUUAUGCCACACAUUUACACACUGCAGCCAACACAUAGUUUGAAAAGCUCUGCCCUAGAGUAUAAUGUUGAUUCAGAUAAGGUAAUCAAUGUAGUGAGAGUAGGAAACAAAGCCUUUGACAGUGGAAGAUAUUUUAGUGAAUUAUUUGAGCUAUAGAGCUUGUCUCCCUGACUCUUCAAGAUUUUGUCUUGGAAGCCUAAAGUGAUCACAUGUUACAAAUAAAAAGAAUGAACAAGUUCACUUGUUAUCUGUUACAUAGAGGAGAACAGGGAUUCAAAGGCUUGACCUAAAUCUGUCUAGGUACAAUCCCAGAAGCAAAUUGAACAAUUUGAAAAAUGGUGUUUAGAGAACCAAGAUAGGCAUUGGCUUUGCAUUUGGGUAGAACGUUGUUAGAACACAGAAACUGAUAGGACUUGAACUAAACUGAAUUAUACCAAGAAGCAUUCAUUUGAAUAUAUUACUUCUCAUUCUUGCAAGUCAGAUAUAUCCAGGAAGCUCAUAAGAAAGGAAUGAAGUCCAUCUUCAAAAUUGUAUCCCCAAUAUUGAUAUUCUGUGUAGUUUACAUAUUGUAAAUGUAGCAUAGAUUGCUUUAUAGUACCAUUUAAAAAUGUUCAAUUUACAUUUAUAAUAUACCCCUCUUCAACUCAAAGCUAUGCACAUAAGGUUCUCAUAUAGAAGCUGAGUAGUCCCUGACCUUCUUGGCAUCAUCAGCCCUCCUGCUAUUUCCCAAGAUGGGCUGGUAGCCAUAAUCACUGCCUAUGAUGGUGAAGUUCAUGAACUACUCUUUUGUUGGCCAAGGCUCAACAUCUCUUCUGAUAUUUGCACAUUGCAUACUCUUGAGCAAGCGAUUCUCACUUUGUUCAUUUAUCUUUAAAUAACAUAGGAAAAUAUCUAUUCAGUAUUGUAAGAAGUGCUUUAUUAAUAUUGUACAAGUUCUCCCACUUAGAAAGAUGAGAGAGGCCUGUAAUUGACAUCAUAGGUAGACCUCAACUAUGAGAGACAACAUGAGAAAACACAUCCAUAAAAUCACACUGUCUGGUUUUUCACGAAUUGAUUUGCAAAUUAUGGUGGAAAAUACGUAUUUGGUCAAUAACAAAAGUUCAUCUCAAUAUUUUGUUAUAGAUCCUUUAUUAGCAAUGACAGAGGUCAAACAUUUUCUGUAAGUCCUCACAAGGUUGGCACACACUGUUGCUGGUAUGUUGGCCCAUUCCUCCAUGCAGAUCUCCUUAAGGGCAGUGAUGUUUUGGGGCUGUCACUGGGCAACACGGACUUUCAACUCCCUCCAAAGGUUUUCUAUCGUGUUGAGAUCUGGAGACUGGCUCGGCCACUCCAGGACCUUGAAGUGCUUCUUACAAAGCCACUCCUUCCUUCGUUGCCCUGGUGGUGUGCUUGGGAUCAUUGUCAUGCUAAAAGACCCAGCCACAUUUUAUCUUCAGUGCCCUUGCUGAUGGAAGGAGGUUUGCACUCAAAAUCUUACAAUACAUGGCCACAUUCAUUCUUUCAUGUAUACGGAUCAGUCGCCCUGGUCCCUUUGCAGAGAAACAGCCCCAAAGCAUGAUGUUGCCACCCCCAUGCUUCACAGUAGGUAUGGUGUUCUUUGGAUGCAACUCUGCAUUCUUUUUCCUCCAAACACGACGAGUUGUGUUUCUGCCAAACAGUUCUACUUUGGUUUUAUCUGACCAUAUGACAUUCUCCCAAUACUCUUCUGGAUCAUCCAAAUGCUCUCUAGCAAACUUCAGUCAGCCCCGGACAUGUGCUGGCUUAAGCAGGGUGACACGUUUGUCACAGCAGGAUCUGAGUUGCUGUCGGCGCAGUGUGUUACUGAUGGUAGCCCUUGUUAUGUAGGUCCCAGCUCUCUGCAGGUCAUUCACUAAGUCCCCAUGUGUGGUUCUGGGUUUUUUGCUCACUGUUCUUGUGAUUAUUUUGACCCCACGGGGCUGAGAUCUUGCGUGGAGCCUCAGAUCGAGGGAGAGUCUCAGUGGUCUUGUAUCUCUUCCAUUUUCUAAUUAUUGCUCCCACAGUUGAUUUCUUCAUACCAAGUGACUUGCCUAUUGUAGAUUCAGUCUUCCCAGUCUGGUACAGUUUGGGUACAAUUUUGUUUCUGGUGUCCUUGGAUAGCUCUUUGGUCUUCACCAUAGUGGAGUUUGGAGUCAGACUGCUUGAGGUUGUGGACAGGUAUCUUUUAUAUUGAUAAGUCCAAAUAGGUGCCAUUACUACAGGUAAUGAGUGGAGGACAGAGGAGCCUCUUGAAGAAGAAGUUAAAGGUCUGUGAGACCUAGAAAUCUUGCUUGUUUGUAGGUGACCAAAUACUUAUUUUCCACAAUAAUCUGCAAAUAAAUUCAUGAAAAAUCAGACAAUGUGAUCUUCUGGAUGUGUUUACUCACGUUGUCUCUCAUAGUUGAGGUGUACCUAUGAUGUCAAUUACAGGCUUUUCUCAUCUUUUUAAGUGGGAGAACUUGUACAAUUGGUAUCUGACUAAAUACAUCCCCCCCCCCACUGUAUCUUCAGGAUACAGACUUUGACAAGCUAAGUGGUUGCAGGAGGAGGAACAAGACCUAGGAGUAGGGCUUGUACUCAACCCUUUCCAAGUUUCUCUGAGUUUUCAACUGACUCAAAGGACCUACCUGUCAGCUAGUCCAGAAAAAACUCAAUCCACCUAAUACUCUCAGCUUUCAUGAGAUUCUUCACCUGCAGCCCAUUUCCUAUCAUGCAGUUUCUGCCUUCCCACCUUCUUCCAGAGUUUGCUUGUGUUCUUUUAUUGGCUUCCUAGCCAUGUCCCCAGCAGAGGCUUUGAAUAAAGUUAGCAGCUGGUUUUUUUGUUGGAUUUUUUUUUUGAGACCAGGAAACUGGGAACAAUAGAGGCAUUGCUUCUGGCACAACUCGACCUCCACGAGAAGGUGAAGUGCCUGGUGUGGACUACAACUUUUUGACUGUGCAGGAGUUUCUUGAGCUAGAGAAAAGCGGGACUCUUCUUGAAGUAGGAACCUAUGAA